CCUCCUAAAGAGUAACGGAGGAGUACGAAGGUGCGCUCAGCGUGGUCGGAAAUCACGCGUAGAGUAUAAAGGCAAAAGCGCGCUUAACUGCGAGACCCACAAGUCGAGCAGGUACGAAAGUAGGUCUUAGUGAUCCGGUGGUUCUGUAUGGAAGGGCCAUCGCUCAACGGAUAAAAGGUACUCUGGGGAUAACAGGCUGAUACCGCCCAAGAGUUCAUAUCGACGGCGGUGUUUGGCACCUCGAUGUCGGCUCAUCUCAUCCUGGGGCUGAAGCAGGUCCCAAGGGUAUGGCUGUUCGCCAUUUAAAGAGGUACGCGAGCUGGGUUUAGAACGUCGUGAGACAGUUCGGUCCCUAUCUACCGUGGGCGCUGGAAAUUUGAGAGGAUCUGCUCCUAGUACGAGAGGACCAGAGUGGACGAACCUCUGGUGUACCGGUUGUGACGCCAGUCGCAUCGCCGGGUAGCUAUGUUCGGAAGGGAUAACCGCUGAAAGCAUCUAAGCGGGAAGCCUACCUCAAGAUAAGAUUUCCCUAGGACUUUAUGUCCUCUAAAGAGCCGUUCGAGACUAGGACGUUGAUAGGUUGGAUGUGGAAGCAUAGUGAUAUGUGAAGCUGACCAAUACUAAUUGCUCGUGAGGCUUGACUAUACAACACCCAAGCAGUUG
rnacentral:rRNA from 1 species